rfam:Cricetulus griseus cell line CHO-K1, whole genome shotgun sequence.
AGACAUCAGAGGGACCUGGCAGUGACAUCCAUCACCCACUGAUCACUUGGGCAGAUCUGAUUGAUCUAACUGGCUAGGUGGGUGUCUCUUUCCUCUGCUCAUUGCUCCACAUGCACCCCUCCCAGAGUCACACACUUGGUGGAAGAAGAUAAACUUCCCUGAUUGUGGAGGUCUGUUCAGUGUGUGAGUACCCACACCCCAUCCUAGAACCUCCAAACAAACUCUCAACAUCCAAUCCUCCCAUUCCACAUUAUGUCUAGUUCCCAAGCAUUUCCAGAUUCUAUGGCCAUCAGCGCUUUUAUCU